AGAACAAUGUACAGAUGAGAUGACAGCACACUCAAGGAAAGUUUUUAAGAGCUGGAAAGUUAUUGAUGCAUCCAAACCAGUGAAUGUUGCUGGAGUGUUCCUUGCUCUAAUAUUCUGCACAUUUUUCGCAGUAUCAUAUUUCACAAAUAAGUAUGUUCUGUCUAUCUUAAAGUUUACAUUUCCAACCAUUUUUCAGGGACCUCCACUGGGGCUCUAUUGCUGCUGGUUACUUGGAAACUGGGUUGGGUUGAAAUCAAUGUGCUGUCCAGAUCUGCAGCAUUUUCCCAGCUCCUUGGGUCUUUUUUUAUUUAUCAGAAACAUUUAUGCUGGGUCCAAAGCACUUUCACUUUUGGUGACCUGUCCAGUGCCUUAGAUUUCCCUCUCCUGACCUCAUCUAGGUUCCAUACUGGCUGUUUGGUGCCAUUUUCAGGUUUUUCUGAUGCUUGCAACCAUAAAGUUGAAGAGCAGUCUGUCUCAGGAACACUGUGGGGACUGGUUCUUCCUGGCCAAAGUGAAACACACCCCUAAAAAUAUACUUAAAAAUGGUUAUCAAUAAUAUUAAGUUAGAGACAUGAAAUUUCGUCCAUGCUUUGAAUGUUUCCCUGUGUAAUUUACACUCCAAAAUGAUCUAAAAAUUGAAGUUGGCCAGCUUAUUUGUUUUUCCACUGUUUUAUUAUUUUUUUCAUUGCAUGUAGGUACUGGCAUCAGGUCUUUUAUUUCUCCUUUCCACAUUCAACACUGUGAUCAGCCCUGUGACACUGUGCUGUUGAGUUCAUAAGUUUCUUCUAGGCAAAUGUCAUAGAGUGCAUCACAACACAAAAAAUGUUAUUUACAUUUUCGUCUCAAAGACUUUGCAGUGGUGUUGACAUGUAGCAUGAAGUAAAAUGAUGAAAAAAAUGUUUUUGUUUCUUUCCUUAGUGUUAUCCUGAAUCACACCGGAGAGGCCUUUUUUAUGUUUUCCGACGGAUUUGAAUAAGAUUCAUAUUGUAUGCUUAGUGCCUUUGAAGAUUCACCAACCCCGUCAGUCACUCCACCUUAAACUCUUUAUAGAGUCUUUAUUAAAUACUCUUGAUUAUGUAAAGUUACUCUUAUACUUAAAUAGCUGCCCAGAAAAUUAGGGACCCCAGCAAUUGCCUCAAUGAGAUUCUUUGUACACCCUGAAAAAACAUCACAACACUGAAAAUCUAAAACAUUUUAAAGGGACAUACACAUCAUGGUUUUUCUGUAAUAAACUUGCAAAUAUUCAACUUUUAUGUUCAGUCUGGGUUUAGAAAGUAAAAAUAGUUAACUAUAUUUUGCUCUUAUCUGUUUACUCUCCCAUAUAAAUAUGGCCAGAAAAUUAUAAACAUUUGUUUAAGGUUUUCUAUUUCAGCAGUAUGCUAUUGAUAGGUAGUCAAUUGGUCUUCACUUUGAGAUCUUUUUUUUUUCUUUUCUUUUUCACCCAAUUUGGAAUGCCCAAUUCCCAAUGUGCUUUUAAGUCCUUGUGGUUGCUGAGGGUCAGUUGAACAUGGGGGAACUUUUCGCUGAAAGUUUCAUUCAUGUCUUUCUUCAGGUCAGACGGCUUCACAUAUUCAAUGACUGUUGUCUGAUCUUGUAAAAGGAACGCUGCAGAGUUUAAAGAAGUUUAGCAUGGUUAUGAUUUUCUGUGUUUCAAGAGUUUUACACAAAGAAAGUCUAAGCUGUCAUUGCAAUUACAAUUGAAUAAAUAUAGCAAAUAAAUAUAUAUAAAGAGAAA